AUCCGGCUUGAUAACUAGGCGGCCGGUCUCAACAACCUACGACGUCUGCCUUUUAAGUAGCCGGUAUAUUGAUCUGUGAAGAUCUUACACGUUUUCAAAGCGCUGUUAUGGCUUUUUCAGUAUUUGACGACUUUUAAAUCUUCGCAACAUAC
rnacentral:snoRNA from 1 species